AGUGACUCUUUUUCCAAUUGAGGACAAACUCGAAACCAUGGAGGAGGUAGGGAUGCAGCCCUUUGCUGUUCUCUGUAGAGGUGAAGGGUCUCUCCUGACGGCAGCUGGAUCAGGGGGAACGGGCUGUGAAUCCUGAAUUCUCAGUGGCACGUCAAACUCAUAAGAGGCGGGUUCUGCAGCGUCAAGUUUUGGGAAGGUGGCACUUGAAGGCAGUUGAAGUCUGCCUCUCUGACCAACCUGGCCAGCUUUCUCCACUGCUAAGCAUGCUGACUGCAACAGGGGCAGGUACGGGAGGAGAGCUGGAUGUGGCUUCUCAUCCGGGAUUCUCAGCUUCCAUCUCCAGCCCACAUCCAGAGCUGCCCAAAAUGAUCAAGCAGUGAGGCGCGGAGAUGGAAAUCACUGGAAGAGUCCCAUUCACCCUCGUUUAUUCUGUCUGUUGCAGCUUUGUUAAAAAGUGUUUGUAGGAUUCAGAAAGGAAUUUUCUUUCACUUAUUUAACCUCCUCUCAUUCCAAAGCACUUUGCAUUUUUGGAAUGUAAUCACAAUUUAGAGGAAACUGCAACCAAUCUGAAUUCAGCGUACUCCCAGAAAUAGCAUUUCAGUCAUUGUUAUUUAAGUUAUUAGAACCUUGGAGCAACUUUGCGAUAAUGUCGCAGAGCUGCGCAUCACUGAGUAUAAAUAUCACAAUGUGAACUCUUUAAGACUCUCUGAAUGGAGAAGGUAUGUUCCAAGUUGAAUGCAUCAUCCUUGAUCCUCAAGUUCUAGGAUUGAAAUUUGAUCCUGGUGUUUCAGGCUCAGAGGCUGGGACACUACCCAGUACACCACAAGAAGCUUGUUGUGUUAAUUCCCCUCCCCAACCCCAACCUUCACAUUAAAAUUUGUUGCAUUCGAAAGGUGUUGGAAUUCAGAGUGCUGGCCUCCAGAA